UUACUUCGGUACAUCGGUGACAGGUGGUGCAUGGUUGUCGUCAGCUCGUGUCGUGAGAUGUUGGGUUAAGUCCCGCAACGAGCGCAACCCCUAUUGUUAGUUGCCAUCAUUCAGUUGGGCACUCUAGCGAGACUGCCGGUAAUAAACCGGAGGAAGUGGGGAGUGACGUCAAAUCAUCAUGCCCCUUAUGACCUGGGCUACACACGUGCUACAAUGGUUGGUACAACGAGUUGCGAGUCGGUGACGGCGAGCUAAUCUCUUAAAGCCAAUCUCAGUUCGGAUUGUAGGCUGCAACUCGCCUACAUGAAGUCGGAAUCGCUAGUAAUCGCGGAUCAGAACGCCGCGGUGAAUACGUUCUCGGGGUUU
rnacentral:rRNA from 1 species